rnacentral:lncRNA from 1 species
UCUUGUUUGAAUAAUAGCUUGCACUCGGUAUAUCGAAUAGAGAUAGCCAUACAAACGCGAGUCGUCGGCAAUUUCUGAAAUUUUGAGACCGAUUAAUGAAGUUUUAUUAUCGUUUGACAGUUUCAAUUAUUUUAGACUACACAAAUAGUUGUUCUCACAACUAAUAAACUAUGGGCAUUUUUUAUUUGUCAGAGUAAUAAGUAGGCAAUGGUCUUUGGCAGAUUUUACGAAGGCCCCAAGAUCAUUAUUAAUAAGAUUGCAUGCAUCAUCCACCGUAUGUGGAAGGAAACUAUGUUACCAGAUGAGAGGAGUAUAUAGUAAAUAAAAGAGGCCCCAGUAUAGAUCCCUGCGGGACACCUGUCUUGAGUUUCAAAUAUUCAGAGAUCUUAUCUUCGAGAACAACUUUUUGCUGCCUAUUCUUGAGUUAUUUUCGAAAUGGAAAAAAAACUGGCCAAUGAAAAGUUGAACAACACGCUGAGGAGAUUGAUGUACUAAUAACUUCUGGAGCGGAAGUG